GUCUGCUAUCCCAGCCUGGUUAGCCCCCUAAAAACUCUGAUACCCCAUAAUUAAAUACAAUAUACUCCCUAACCUACCCUGGUGAUUUAGAAGCAUGCCAUGUAAACCACACUGAGUCCUUUAGAGGAAGAGUUGGAUAAAAUGCAAUCAAAUUAAUCAACCGCUAGUGAUUAGUUUUUGAAGAAGUUUCACGCUGGAACAACCUGAACACUGUGACUGUGUCAGCUGGCAGAGAGUGGCAGAGACAGAGGGAGCGAGAUGAGAGAAAUAGAUAUGGGAAAGAGUUAAGGAGAAAAGGUCAGGUAUGUUAAGAUAGGAUAGGAGCCUUCUGCAUUAAAUGGCUCCUUGUUCUGGCUGCUUUCCCCCCUUAAGCCUGUAUAUGUUUGCAUUGUGCUUCUCUUGUUCUGGUCUGAGCGUAUUCUCAAGUUUAUGUAUCUAACCCUGCAUGUCUGGUGGGUAGAUGUACCUGCGUAAGAAUAUACAGGGAGAAUCCGUAAAUGGUGUCAGGAGAUAUUUUAAUAGAAGUCUGGAUUCAGUGGAGUAGCUGAGGAACUGACCAUAGUGAACACUUGGGGACCUAGGACCUCUUGUAUACGGUCUCUUAACUAUUUCAAUAUGAUAACCUAUAGAAAAAAGGCAACAUGGAUUUUUUGUCCCUGUAGGGUUAGAAUGGUAGAAAUUCAUAGCAGCUCAUUCUCAAAAAUGGAGGGAUGCAUUUUCUUAAGCUUUCCCUCUCCUCAACCCAUUUUAUUGGUGCUGUGAUCUCAAUGGAGGCUUAAGGGAAUAAUGUGGCUUAAGGACAUAAUAGUGGCUGUAAAAGCUGUAAGAGUUUGCGUUCAAUAGGUAGAUGUGCUUCAUUAUGUAGCCUCCAGUAGGUUUCUACUUACAGGUCUGUAGAAAACGGUGUUGCUUUUUGCCAAGGGUUUGGAAAGCAAGGAAAUGCCUAUUGAAAGCACAGUCAGUGAGAACACAAAUAAUGCGAAGAAAAUGUCUAGGAAGCGAGGUGCUAAUAUGUCACCAUCAUCAAUCAAGUUGGUGUGCCUAAUCUGAUUUUCAAGAUUAGCCUGAGCUAAUUGCUUCAAAGUCAAGUUGUAGCCUGGAGGAAAUUAUGUUUGUUGUAAAUUACCAUAUAUUAUUUUUUGCCUUGCAGCCUGCUUUGAUAACACACACACACACACACACACACACACACACACACACUUUCUCACAAAUUAAAUCUGUGAUAGAUUUACACGAGAAUUUAUAGGUAACACCAGUCCGUCCAGGCUUCUCUUCCCCAUGAGCAAAGUGCCUCAAAGAUGCUUAUAAGCAAGGCAUGGUGUUGGCAACCUUCAAAAUUUCCCAACAGCUAGUAGUCAGUUGUACAGUCCUUGUACAUGUAAGCUCUGUUUGGCAAUCACAGCAAUUGAUAGACCCAUCCUCCAUAAAUAUAGCCAAUUCCUUGCAAAACAAAAAACAAAACCCUCCCACCAUUCUUUAUUGUGCAUAUUGAAAUAAACUAACAUUUUGAAAUACAUUCUUUUUUUUCCCUUUUUUUAAAAUUACACUUAGGCAAAAUUAUCAGAGUUCAAAAUUAUCUGGGAAAUCCUGUGUAGCUGCUGCCUGUCAGUGUUGACAGAACUAGACUAGAUGGGCCUAUGGCCUGACUCAGCAUAAGGCAGCUUUCUAUGUUCCUAAACAAUGUGGCUCUUUGUGUUAUCAGAAUGCGCACAAAAGUGCCAUUUUUUUGCCUGGGCUAUUCAUUAGUUGUGUGUACAGAGUGUGCCGGCAACGUAGUAACAAGCAUGCAAUUUUUCAAAUUAAAAUAUUAAUGCUUGCUCCGCUUGUUAUUUGUGCAUCCUAAUAUAUUAUUUUCUUUGAGCACAGUCGCUCAUUGAUCUUCUUUUAAUUAAGCCUGUUGCUUACAUUCUGAGUGUGCACACUUAAUUAAGAACCCAGCCUUUUUUGUCACUGCUUUUACUUAGGAUUAAUUUCUGACAAACGUGGACUAUCAACACCAUGCGGUCUGCUUGUUGAGCUGUACUGUAAUUCAGCACGGGGAAAGAAAUUGGCAGGCGAAGACGCCUCUGCACCCCCUAGCCAUGGGAGAAAGCGACUGGGAAAUUCUGUAUGUGUAGGUCGUGGUUGCCAUGACAGAAGGGGGACGAUAAAAAGUGUUACCACCCAAACGAUUAGAUGCCUCCUGAUUUGUAAAUUGGCGGCUGUCAUGUAGCUUUAUUGGGAGGUGCUGCCAAUAAAAACAUGGCUGAUGGUGUCCUUUCCAAAGCCCCUACUGAUUUGGCUCAUUUCCUACUUACAUCAUGUCAUGGAGUCGCUGAGUUGGGCCUCCACAGCUGAUGUGAGAAGACGGUGAAGGCAAAUGUCUGGCUCUGGCAUUGGGUCUUCCAUUGGCCCAUAUCCUUGGAAGUCAGAAGGAGUGAGUGGUGGAUAAAAUAGGUAUAUAAAGAAAGAAUUCCUGAAUGCCAGGAUCCAGGUUUGGGGCAAGUACUCCAUGGUGAGGACACAAGCAAAGUGGGGGAAUACAGACCUUUAGAAUAUGCCCUUGUGUGUUCUAAAGGACAACACAUUUGGUAAGCUUAAAAUUGUCUAAAACUCUCCAAAGGUCAGAUUCAUGUGCUUUUCCGUACAGCAACAGCACUCAGAAAGUUGCACAGGCUGUAAAACGUGGCUUACUUACAAAGUGGGGAAAGUUCCUAAAUUAUUGGUAUAGGAACUCAAGGGAGGUUUGUUAGAGCCAUGCGGCUAAGCUGGAACACAUGCUGAGCUUUUCAGGGGGCGGGGCGGACAAAGGCUUGUUUAUCUAGUCUCUCAAGGUGAGCUAAGCCUGGCAGGACAGCUUAUGUAAGCAUGUUGGUUAUGAGGCUGCUUAUCCCACAAAUACUGGUGAGAGAAGGGGAAUUCUUCUGAUUCCAGAAGUAAAUAGAUCCAGAUCACUUUAAUUUA